rnacentral:rRNA from 1 species
AAAGCGGAGGAAAAGAAACCAACCGGGAUUGCCUUAGUAACGGCGAGUGAAGCGGCAAAAGCUCAAAUUUGAAAUCUGGUACCUUCGGUGCCCGAGUUGUAAUUUGGAGAGGGCAACUUUGGGGCCGUUCCUUGUCUAUGUUCCUUGGAACAGGACGUCAUAGAGGGUGAGAAUCCCGUGUGGCGAGGAGUGCGGUUCUUUGUAAAGUGCCUUCGAAGAGUCGAGUUGUUUGGGAAUGCAGCUCUAAGUGGGUGGUAAAUUCCAUCUAAAGCUAAAUAUUGGCGAGAGACCGAUAGCGAACAAGUACAGUGAUGGAAAGAUGAAAAGAACUUUGAAAAGAGAGUGAAAAAGUACGUGAAAUUGUUGAAAGGGAAGGGCAUUUGAUCAGACAUGGUGUUUUGUGCCCUCUGCUCCUUGUGGGUAGGGGAAUCUCGCAUUUCACUGGGCCAGCAUCAGUUUUGGUGGCAGGAUAAAUCCAUAGGAAUGUAGCUUGCCUCGGUAAGUAUUAUAGCCUGUGGGAAUACUGCCAGCUGGGACUGAGGACUGCGACGUAAGUCAAGGAUGCUGGCAUAAUGGUUAUAUGCCGCCCGUCUUGA